GUACUGGGUUAGGGCCGCCCGCUCCUGUGUGACCUCGUCCUGACUAAUCACAUCUGCAUUGACCUAUUUCCACAUAAGGUCCCGUUCUGAGGUGCUGGGGUUGGGACGCAGCUGAAUCCCCAACACUGGGGAGUUAACGGAGGCCUGCCUGAGGACAGAACUGAGUAGCCAGGUCUUCGCAGCGGGGGCGGAGGGUUCCGGUAGCUGGGUCACUGACAGCCUUUGCAUCCCCAAGCUGGUCUAUAACCAACAAAAUCAAAUCGAUAAAUGUAUCUGACAUCCUCUCAGAGCAGGGCCUUUGGGCCAAAAGCUAUGGGCAAAUAGGGCAGUGCCUACCGCGGCCGCCGGGGUGGGUUUUCUCAGCCUUGGUCCACCGGCCAGCAGGCCAGCCCAGAGGCCCCGCGCCACCGCCAGUUACACACCCCAGGGCUUGAGGCACCCCACCCAGGCCAAACACUGCAGGGCCCUGACGUAGGGGCGGACCCCAGGUCUCCUGCACUUGGGGCUUAGGGGAAGGGGCUGCGUGGCUGGCGGUCUCAACUGGUCCCUGGGGAAGAGCCAGGGACAGUUUCUUCCAGCUUAGUUACAAGAAACCUGGAGACUGAAAGCUCUACCCUGCAGAUAAGAGACAACUUUCCUUUGAUGUGCAGAUAACCUUUUCUGAUGUGGAAAGUUCUAUCUGCCUUGUCUGCCCUCCCCGCUCAGAGGAUCAGAUGAACAAACCCUGGAUGAAGCUGCCACGGACAGCAUGACCCUCCCCAGGAGUGACCAGGGCCUCCGGUAUCUAGGUGCUUUUCUAUUCUAGCGAGGACGUGGGAGCACAGACGCGCCCUGCAGCACGGCACCUAGGAGACUGUCAGCCGCGGCCACGAGCAGCCUAACCUGCCACCGUCGCCACAGGUGUUUCUCAUGCAGCCAUGUCAGGACUGAGCCUGUACUCAGGCGGUUCUGUCCCUGAUCCUUCUCUGCCAGAGCGAACUCGUGAAGUGACCAGGUUCGCUGGAUUUAAAUUUCUGACAUCUAGAGGACUAAAACGGGAAAACAUUCAAUGCAAAAAGCUCACUCUGAAAAGUGUGAGGCACACACCCCGUAAGCUCCGCCUCAAGCAGGAAAAGCCACAGGGAGCCUGCAGGAGGGUCAUGGGGAGCCCCACAGACCCCUCCCCUCCGGCUCUGGGGGCAGGGGAUCUGGGGGGCCUGCUGCACAAGCCCAGCAGAGGACAGCAGCUUCCUACCACCUGGAGAGGACAGCCGCAAUGGGGCAGAGUGAGGAACAGAGUCCCAGGCUGUUAAGCCUCAACCGCCCAACCCAGAGAGG